rnacentral:rRNA from 1 species
AUUGAACGCUGGCGGAAUGCUUUACACAUGCAAGUCGAACGGCAGCACGGGGGCAACCCUGGUGGCGAGUGGCGAACGGGUGAGUAAUACAUCGGAACGUGCCCAGUCGUGGGGGAUAACUACGCGAAAGCGUAGCUAAUACCGCAUACGAUCUACGGAUGAAAGCGGGGGAUCGCAAGACCUCGCGCGAUUGGAGCGGCCGAUGGCAGAUUAGGUAGUUGGUGAGGUAAAGGCUCACCAAGCCUUCGAUCUGUAGCUGGUCUGAGAGGACGACCAGCCACACUGGGACUGAGACACGGCCCAGACUCCUACGGGAGGCAGCAGGUGGGGAAUUUUGGACAAUGGGCGCAAGCCUGAUCCAGCCAUUCCGCGUGCAGGAUGAAGGCCC